GGAAUGGGUGAGAGGGAGAUGGGGAGGAGGGUGGUAAGGGGAGAGGAGAAGAGAGAAGAGCGAUGGAGGAUGACAAGGAGAGAAGUAAAGAAGGGAGAUGAGAGAUGAUGAAGAGGGUAGGAUACAUUAGGGAGAAGAAUGAGAUGAGGCUGCUCGGAAACUACUCACAUAAUGCUAUACAGACAGAGAGAGAAAGAAAGGAGUGGAAGGAGAGAAGAACAGGGAGAGGAAAAGAGAAAUGGGGGAAGGGAAGGAAUGAAAGAGAGAAGAGGCAAAAGAGAUGUGCUAUACAGACGAAGAGAGGAAUAGAAGGAGAAAAGGCAAGAGAAAGAAAAGGAGAGAGAGAGAGAGAGAGAGAGAGAGAGAGAGAGAGAGAGAGAGAGAGAGAGAGAGAGAGUAUGGAAAGGUUAGACAGAGAGGAAGAGAGCAACGGAAUUGGAUACAUAAAAGAGGAGUGAGAGAUGAGAAGCCAAAUUAUAGAAGAAUAUGAUAGUACUGUCCUUAUGCUUACUAAUACGACCCUGUGUGUGUGUGUGUGUGUGUGUGUGUGUGUGUGUGUGUGUGUGCUAGAUUCAGUUGCUUAAUUAAUUAGAAAGAAACAUACAGAGAGAGAGAGAGAGAGAGAGAGAGAGAGAGAGAGAGAGAGAGAGAGAGAGAGAGAGAGAGGAAGGGAGAAAUAAUGAUAGAGUGAAUGAGGGACGGAGGGAGAGAGGGAGAGAAUGGGGGCGUGGGAGGGAAGACUAGGAGAAGAAGGGGAAGGAUUGGAUAAUUGAACAACAAGACAAAGUUAAGACAGAUAAUUUGUUGAUGUAUUCUGAUAAAGUGAUGGAUGGAUGAACAGAGAGAGAGAGAGAGAGAGAGAGAGAGAGAGAGAGAGAGAGAGAGAGAGAGAGAGGAAACGGAUGGCUAGAAUAACCACAUCGUAGAGGUUUUCCCGUGGUUAGGACACACACACACACACACACACACACACACACACACACACACACACACACACCAAACUCAUGACAAAAUGUAAGAGUGAAGAUUAAGCUCAUUACGGUAAAAAUUAAAACUUACACGCGACUUUCAUUUUCAAGCGAGAGGAAAACCAACUCUCUCUCUCUCUCUCUCUCUCUCUCUCUCUCUCUCUCUCUCCUCACGGUAUUGCCUAACCAAGAUUGCAAUGUCAGCUUCAGGCGACCAACGAGAUUUAAUCCAUUGGCAGACUUUAUAAAUAGCAGUCAAGGAUUCUACUGUAGCGAGACUCCUUUGCUAGUGGCUCCACUCACGCGCGCCUCCAAACUUGGGCUUAUCCUGCUGUAUGUGUGUGUGUGUGUGUGUGUGUGUGAGAGAGAGAGAGAGCUCCUCCGCCCGUUAGGUAAAGAGAGAGGAGGGUUUGAAGGGAGAAGGAGUUGGAGAUGAGAAGGGAAAUAUGGAAAAGAAAAAUGGGAGUAAGGGAAUGAGGAGGGAAAAAGGAAGUGGAGGAAGGAAAGAAAGUUUGAAGAAGGGAAAGAAUAAUGUGUGUAUGUGAAAGAGGAGAGAACGGAGACGAGGGGAAAGGAGGUGGAGAUGGGAAAGAAAGUGUAAAAAAGGAAAAGAACAACGCGAGUAUGGGAAAGAGAAAGGGGAAAAGGAGGUGGAGAUUGACAGGAAAUGUGAAUAUACGAAAGAAGGUGUAAAGAAGAGGAAGAAAUAUGUGAGUAUGGGAAAGAGGAGGAGGGGAGUGGGAGGAGAUAUUAGUGUCACAGCGAAAAGGAACGAACAUGAAGAAGGAAAAGUGUUGAGAGGAAGAAAUUAAUCGUACGUAUAAAGGAACGAACAUGAAGAAGGAAAAGUGUUGAGAGGAAGAAAUUAAUUGUAGGUAUAAAGGAACGAACAUGAAGAAGGAAAAGUGUUGAGAGGAAGAAAUUAAUUGUAGGUAUAAAGGAACGAACAUGAAGAAGGAAAAGUGUUGAGAGGAAGAAAUUAAUCGUACGUAUAAAGGAACGAACAUGAAGAAGGAAAAGUGUUGAGAGGAAGAAAUUAAUUGUAGGUAUAAAGGAACGAACAUGAAGAAGGAAAAGUGUUGAGAGGAAGAAAUUAAUUGUAGGUAUAAAGGAACGAACAUGAAGAAGGAAAAGUGUUGAGAGGAAGAAAUUAAUCGUACGUAUAAAGGAACGAACAUGAAGAAGGAAAAGUGUUGAGAGGAAGAAAUUAAUUGUAGGUACACAGAAGAGAUAGCGAAUGAGGGGAUGGAUGAAUAAAUGUCACGGAGACGAAAAAGAAACGUUAGAAAUAGAAUGAGAAAAUUUAGGUCAAAGGAAAAAGAAAAUAAUUUGAAGAGAGAAAUAGAAUGUGGGAAGAGUGGAGUGAGAAAGGGAACGAGAAAACUUAAGGAAAAAGAAAAACAAAAAUAAAGGUAAAAGUAAAAUAUAGGAAGAAAAGAGGGGAGCAAAGUUAAAUGCCUUGAAGGAGGAGACGAACAAACAAACAAACAAACAAAAAGACAAACAAGAAAAAGAAAAAGGAAGCAAAAAAAGAGAGCAAGAAAACAUGACUCACGUAAGAGGAGAAAGAGCUAAAAUAAGAGAGAGAGAGAGAGAGAGAGAGA